rnacentral:sRNA from 1 species
UAAUACCUUCAGUGCACUUAGUACGAUG